AUUAUGAAAUAAAAUUUGUUGAUGAUGAGAUGAAUAAGUUAAAUUUUGAUUCUAUUCCAGAUAUAAAUGCAGCUAAUUUACAAAGUCUUGCUGCAUUAGCUAGCUUAGCUAACAAUCCAGGAAUUAAUCCAAUGGUUGUGCAGAAUUUGGCAGCUUUAGCUGCUGCUGGGGGUGGAAAUAAUUCUACGGGAAUUACAAGCUUAUCCGCUGCAG